CCUUUCCUUUUCGUUCUCUCUCUCUUACUCAAAGAUUAAGAUUUUAGAUCUGGAUCUGGAUCUAUUGUUCCCGAGGAUCUGGACACCUUCCCUAAGAUAGUUGAAGAUGGAUCCCUAGCCGUCGCAUCUGGUGAAGAUGGUGGUGAUUUCAACUAUCUGUGAUCUUAUGCUUCAAUUUCUCUUUUGGUGGUUUAUCAUUGAUCAUCCCAUUUCUUUCUUCAGAACACAGAAGAGAGAGAGAGAUAGAAAGAUACAUCUGGAGUUAGAGAGAGAAAAGAGGACAAGAGGAGAGAGAGAACGAUGAUGGCAGCUGUUAGGGUUCCGGCGGCCGUGAAACCGACUUUUCAUUUUUCUGGUCUGGUGAAUCAGGAGAGCAAAUUCUUGAAGUAUUUAGGAUUUAUGUGGAACACAUUAUCAUGGGUUAUGGAAGCUGCUGCUAUUAUGGCGAUUGACAUUGCAAAUUGAGGAGGAAAGCCGCCUGAUUGGCAGUCUUUUGUGGGUAUUAUCACUCUGCUCAUAAUCAAUAACAAAGUUAGUUUCAUUGAAGCAAAGAACGCUGGUAAUGUAGCAGCUCGCAAGGCCAGUCUUGCCCAGUGGUUGGGCAAAUCUCCUGUCUGAACUGUUAAGUGAUGUGAUAAAGAGAUUAGAAGCGAGUGAAAGUACAUGGCCCGCGCGAAAAAUUGUUGUUGCGUGUGCCGCAGUGUGUAGAUCAUGGAGAGAAUGUGCAAAGAAAUUGUUGAUUCCACUGAAUCUUCAGAGAAGAUUACAUUUCCAAUCGCUUUGAAACAGGUAGAUUGUUAAUUAAUCAGAUGGUU